ACAGACACGGCCGCAUUCAGGACCAGCCAGCAUCUAAAUAGGAGGAAUAAUCGCUCCAGAAAGAGAUGAAUGGCACACAAGGAACGGCUUCUGCCUUACGGGCAUUACUAAAACCCUCACCUCGCCCAUGCGCCCCUACGGCACGCAGGUCAACCGGUGAGCGCUGUGCUUCAGCUCCCUUUCUGCGCCCCGAAGACACGCACGUGGCCACGCGCGGCAGCAGGAAACACCAUGAGGCAGAACCGGAAGGACUGCGGGGCUGCAUGCCACGGCCACGCCAAUCCCAACUUCUGGGCAGGAAACGUAUGCCAUGGCAGAGCGCUGAAGAUGACUCAAAUCGCCUCUCCCCCACCCUCCGGUGCCACGGAACAACAGCCCUCUUCAGCCAGGGGAGGGGGACCACGUGGAGGGAUGACUCAAAGCUCUGGGAUAGGGGAAAAACCCACAGAGCAGAGCACACAGCCCACCCCCCCAAACUCACACCGCCUCAUGUUAUAUUAAUUAAACACACAACAACUGCCUUGAGGUAAUAAACACUACAAAGGCAAAGCCAUCUCGUCCUACCGCAAGAUAAGUUUACUGAGGUCAAACCCCAGGGAAAACUAAUCUAACCACAUUUUCAAAUUGUUUGGAAUAUUCCAUAGCCCAACAAAACCAUAAAUUGACAAAAACAUCCUAUCCUAGAAUAGCGUGGGGAUAACAAAGAAUGUUUUGUUUAAUUAAAGGCAGAUGACCUAAUAAAAGUUUCACACUCACAGUGCGCAAAUAAAUCUUCGUCUUUGUU
ensembl:lncRNA